GUUGACCUUGGAUGCUUUCAGGUCUGAACAAGUGUUCCCCUGUUUGGGACCCCAUGCUUGCUUUCAGCUAAGUGCAGUUCUCCUGGAAUAAACUACAGAUGAAAGAACACAGUUGGUGGAAAUUUAUCACCCAGGAGAAAUGUGACAAGGGAGGCUCCCCCUAGCCUAUUUGUGGAUUUGUUUAUACUCCCUCUGGUGGCUGAUUCAGACCUGCAUGUUCUGUCCCUUUGACCUGAGAAGCAACCACACCCUACCUGAUUCCAGAAGCCCUGAGUACUGGGAUUGUGGCCAUGUCCGCAUGAGCAAAGCUGGGGCCCAUCAAGCUUCCCAUCUACACAUUCAGCACAGUCCUGGGUCCCAGAACAAUCUAUUGAGGUA
rnacentral:lncRNA from 1 species